AUUCCAGCUCCAAUAGCGUAUAUUUAAGUUGUUGCAGUUAAAAAGCUCGUAGUUGGAUUUUGGGUCGGGGGCACCGGUCCGCCGUUCCGGUGUGCACUGGUGGCCCCUUCCUUUCUGCCGGGGACGUGCGUCGCACUUAAUUGGGUGGCGUUCGGAGUCGGCGUUGUUACUUUGAAAAAAUUAGAGUGUUCAAAGCAAGCCAUCGCUCUGAAUACAUUAGCAUGGAAUAACAUGAUAGGACUCCGGUCUUAUUUUGUUGGUUUCCGAGACUGGAGUAAUGAUUAAGAGGGACAGUCGGGGGCAUCCGUAUUUCAUUGUCAGAGGUGAAAUUCUUGGAUUUAUGAAAGACGAACUUCUGCGAAAGCAUUUGCCAAGGAUGUUUUCAUCA
rnacentral:rRNA from 1 species